rnacentral:tRNA from 1 species
CUAUAAUUAGUGUAGGGCAAGCAAAUUUGUAUUUUGGGGGUAUAGAUCUUCUAUUGUAUA